AUUGAACGCUGGCGGCAUGCUUUACACAUGCAAGUCGAAAGAGUGGCGAACGGGUGAGUAAUACAUAGGAACGUGUCAUAUCGUGGGGGAUAACUGAUGGAAAGAUCAGCUAAUAACGCAUACGAUUGGAGAGGCCGAUGCCCGAUUAGCUAGUUGGUGAGGUAAAGGCUCACCAAGGCGACGAACGGUAGCUGGUCUGAGAGGACGACCAGCCACACUGGGACUGAGACACGGCCCAUACUCCUACGUUAGGCAGCAGGGGGGAAUUUCGGACAAUGGGGGCAACUCUGAUCCCGCCAUGCCGCUUGCAGGAUGAAGUUUUCCGGAUUGUAAACUGCUUUUGUCAGGGAAGCGGUACCUGACGAAUAAUCACCGGCUCACUACCUGCCAGCAGCCGCGGUAAUAC
rnacentral:rRNA from 1 species